rnacentral:lncRNA from 1 species
GUGACCAACCUUUUUCACUCUCCAUUUCUUCUAUCACCAACCAUGUUCUAUGCUUUAACAAAACUACCCGGUCUCUCUUUCACAAAAAAACCCUAAUCCCCAAAUCCCAGUUUCACCCAAAAUUCAAUAUAUUAAGCCAUUUAUUCGAUGCGAUAUAACAAGGUCUAAAUGAACAGAUGCCAAUCGGAGAAAAGGAAGCUUAAAUCAAUAUAACAUAUUAAACCAUUUAUCCGAGGUCCGUUUCGAGGUGUCUGAAUGGUGGUAAUUCGGUUGUUGUUGUUGUUUCUGGUGGUGGUGAUAGUGUGAAUUUGUUCUAAGAGGCGUGGGAGGUCUGUGUCUAAGAAUAAUGACGGUAAUGAUGCUGGUAGUGCAGAUAGGGUUGUUUCGGAUAGUGAUUGAGGAAACGGCGGUCUAUUUCGGUUGUUCAACAUCAGAUUAGUGGCUCUGAGGAAGAACGUCGAUGGAUGGCUCAAGAAGUACGCAGUUACGUUGAAGCAGUUCUCAACACGCUUGCUGCCAAUGUCCAAAGGCAGUUCAUUGCCAAGUAGAAAAGGCUAAAGAAGAUAGCUCAAUAAACUAGUUUUAUAAAAGUGGAAAGAAAGAAUGCGUGGCUAAAUCUGCAGCUGAAACUAAACCUCAAGCUGCUAUGCUGAAAUAACGUCAGGCUUAUGUGGUUUGAACUUAGAACAUGUUUAAAAAAAUUCUUAGUGCUUACAAUUUUUUUUCAUCUGAUUUAUCAAAUUUACACUUGAAUGAUGAUCAAAGUUUGACUUUUC